AUUUUCUAGAUUUUUGAUUUUUCUUCUCCUUUGUAGGCUAGUAGCAAAGUGGGCUCCACUUCCUCAUUUUCAACAUGAUUUGCCUUCUCUUCAGCAUUGCUAGGAGAACUUUAGCACUUCAAAGUAUAGUGGCCAUACUUUUGACAAUUGUAG